GCCUACGGGGCGCAGCAGUGAGGAAUAUUGGUCAAUGGGCGGUAGCCUGAACCAGCCAAGUAGCGUGAAGGAUGAAGGUUCUAUGGAUUGUAAACUUCUUUUAUAAAGGAAUAAAGUGAGGCACGUGUGCCUUUUUGUAUGUACUUUAUGAAUAAGGAUCGGCUAACUCCGUGCCAGCAGCCGCGGUAAUACGGAGGAUCCGAGCGUUAUCCGGAUUUAUUGGGUUUAAAGGGUGCGCAGGCGGACCAUCAAGUCAGCGGUAAAAUCGUGGGGCCCAACCCCAUCCCGCCGUUGAACCUGGCGGU
rnacentral:rRNA from 1 species